rnacentral:rRNA from 1 species
AUUGAACGCUGGCGGCACGCCUAACACAUGCAAGUCGAGCGGCAGCGCGAUGUGUAGCAAUACACAUUGGCGGCGAGCGGCGGACGGGUGAGGAACACGUAGGAACUUGCCCUUUAGAGGGGGAUACCCAAGGGAAACUUUGGUUAAUACCGCAUACACUCGAAAGAGGAAAGCUGCCCGCAAGGGUGGCGCUAGAGGAGUGGCUUGCGUCCGAUUAGCUAGUUGGAGAGGUAAAGGCUCACCAAGGCGAUGAUCGGUAACUGGUCUGAGAGGACGACCAGUCACACUGGGACUGAGACACGGCCCAGACUCCUACGGGAGGCAGCAGUGGGGAAUAUUGGACAAUGGGGGCAACCCUGAUCCAGCGAUGCCGCGUGGGUGAAGAAGGCCUUCGGGUUGUAAAGCCCUUUAGGUUGGGAAGAAGAGUGGUUGAGGAAAUGCAAUUACUUUGACGGUACCGACAGAAUAAGCACCGGCAAACUCUGUGCCAGCCGCCGCCGUAAGAC